rnacentral:lncRNA from 1 species
UCUGCUGUCCUGAUUGGUUGAUUUCCAUUAUUUUAUCUUCCAAGUCACUAAUUCAUUCCUCUGCAUUACUCUCUGCUCUUUGGUGCCUUUAACUCAGUUUUCAUUUCUACAUAUGAAUUUUGUAAUUUUUCUAUGUUCUUCCAUAUAUUUCCAAUUAUUUUCUAAAGGAAUAUGCAUUACUAUUCACAUCUGCUCUUAAUUCCUUGAUAUUCAGCCUUCAUUCCUUCAGUAUUUUCACUAUCCCCUUUUGAACCCAAUGUCUGUCAGACUGCGGAGGUCUGUUUCAUUUUUUGCUGUUUCAUGUGAAUUCUUCUGUUCCUUUAGCUGGGAACGGUUUCUGAGCUUCUUUAUCUUGCUUAUGUUUUUCUUUUUCUGUGAGUUUAGGGAAGCCAAUCUGUAGUCUUGGAGGGCUACUUCUAUACAAGAGCACCUUUCUUUAUCUUGUGGGGGGUUGCUAUGUAUUUUUGGCAUGAGAGUUUGAAUAUUUCCUGUCUCUUUCUUCAGUGUGAGCAGGCUGUUAUGCCAGAGUCCUGAGUGUGUUUCCAGGUAGAAAGAGGCAGUGGGUAGGGCUGGUAAUCAGUGCCUGGUUGCUGGGAUCUCAACAGCAACAAGGACCUGCAGGAAGAUGGUGCAGGCUACUCCUAGGUUCAGGGCCCUGGGAGGUGAGAAUGAGCCUUAGGCAGAUUUACAAGGAGCCCAGAGCAUUUGACAGUGGCAGCAGCAGAGUGUUUGAGUUCCCAGGGGAGUGAGAGCAACAACAGCUAGUGUUCAAUUACAGUGCCCUCCUCUGAGGUGACUGGAGCCACAAGUGGUGCCUUUCAGGGACCCCUAGUGGUAGCAGGCCACGCCUAUCCCUGGAGUCAGAGAUAACUGCAGUGGUUUGCCCCCAUCACCUGCAGACCACACAAGAAGCACCCCAUCUCACUUAGCCCACACAAGAGGUGCUACACAGCCUGCUUCUAGUUGCAGGAUCCUGGGAAGUGACAGAAGUCAAGUGUGUGGGCACUGCCCAGAGCAUUCAGCAGUGGAAGCAGUAGGGCAGGUGUGCUCCCAGUGGAGUGAGAGGAACAACUGGUGGUGUUCUAUUGCAAUGUCCUCCUCUGUGGUGCCCUGUGAGGUGGUUGGAGCUGCAAGCACUUCUUGUUCAGGGAUCCCCAGGCAGGUGUUUUCCCAGGGGAGUAAGAGCAACGUGUGGUGCUUGGUUGAGGUGCCCUCUUUUUUGGAUUCCGAGAUGACUGCUGCAGUCUGUCCCUGCUGCCUGUAGAUCACACAAGAAGCAACACAUUGCACUUAGCCCCCUGCUGCCCUUAGCCCACACAAGAAGUGCCCAGCCACCCAUAGCCUGCACAAGAAGCGCCCAGUUUCCUGUAGCCCAAGCACGUGGCUUCUCUGCAGCAGAGGUGCCCCACCCUCCAAGAGCCUGCGUGUGCGUGCACCAGGAAAUUCCCAUGGUGGUCCACCCCUCCUCCUGUUGACCUCCCCAACAAUGGCACAGCUUCUCCUGUGGGUCCAGAUCUUUUCCCUGGUUCCCUCUGCCAAGGUGUUUCAUUCCCCAGCCCAUAGCGCAUUGCUCCCCCACCUGUGGCACACUGCUCCUUAGCCUCUCAGGCUGUCCUCACACGGCCAACCCUAGUCCUCUCUCUGGAGCUGACCUCCAGAGCCUAAGUCUCAGCACCCAGCCCUUGUCGAAGAAUCUCAGCCUGUGGUGACUGGGGUGGUGGUGCAGAUAUCUGUGUGACUCUCACUCUACUGUGAGUGAGUAGAGUCCAGCUGCUGUGCUUCUCUUCGUGACUUUGAGGUCCCUCUGUCUUGGCUGAUUUCCUGGUGGGUUAGGUGGCUUCCCAGGAUGUGGGUUCCUUUUCUCCUUCACAGCUCCCUCUCAGGAAGGCUAGUCCCAUCUUGAUUCCUUUUCUGUCUCUCUUCUUUUGUUCUACCCAGUUAUGUCAAGAGUUUCUUGCCCUUUUUGGAGGCUUAAGUUCUUCUGCCAGCAUUCAGUAGAGGGUCUGUGUGAGUCGUUUUAUAUGUAGAUGUGUUUUUUUGAUGUGUUUGAGGGAAAAGGUGUGAAGUUUUACUCCUCUGCCAUCUUGAUCCAUCUGUUCAGAUCUUUUGCAUAUUCUUUAAUAUCAGCUUCCUUCUUUUCUUAUUAUAGUUUUGAGAGUUUUUAUAUAAUCUGGAAACAAGUUCUUUGUCAAAAACAUGAUUUUCUCCCCAUCUAUAGUUUGUAUUCUCUCUUUUAACAGUGUUUUCACAGACCUCAAGUCUUUAAUUUUUAUAAAGCUCAGAUUUUCUUUUCAUGUAUUUCACUAAAAUUUGACUGACCCCCAAAGCUUUUUUCUUCUAUAUUUUCUACAUAUAAGUUGUGAGCUAUGGGUCAAGUUGUGUGUGUGUGUUCUCAGGUGACUAUUGGGUGAGAAUACUGAACCCUAACCACUUGAAGUAGGUCUUCAGACCUUUGUCCCUUUGGAGACAUAAUUUGGCAUAGAGACUGAGGGUAGUGAGACAAAUAAGUGUUUAUUUAAAGAGAUAAGAGAGAGAAGACAGGUGCAGAGAAAGCUCAAGCACAGGCAAGCUCAGGGUGGAUGGAGAGGCAAAGAAAAAGAGACAGAGAGAAAGAAUAAGAGAGAGGAAGAGAGGCAACACAUGCUUUGGAGGUCAUUUAUUUAUUUUUUAAAUGUUUUAAUUAUUUUUUGUCUUUUUUUUUUGUCCUUUUAGGGCCACACCCACAGCAUGUGGAGGUUCCCAGUUCAGGGCGUCUCAUCAGAGCUGUAGCUGCCUGCCUACAGCACAGCCGCAGCAACACCAGAUCCAAGCCACAUCUGCAACCUACAUCACAGCUCACAGCAAUGCCAGAUCCUUAACCCACUGAGCGAGGUCAGGGAUCAAACCCACAACCUCAUGGUUUCUAGUCAGAUUCGUUUCCACUGUGCCAUGAGGAGAACUCCAUAAAUGUUUUAAUGAUUUUUAUUUUUUCCACUAUGGUUGGUUAUUUUUAUUUUUUCCACUAUGGUUGGUUUACAGCGUUCUGUCAAUUUCUACUGUAGAGCAAAUAUAUAUAUAUAUUCUUUUUCUCACAUUAUCCUCCAACAUAUUCCAUCACAAGUGAUUGGAUAUAGUUCCCUGUGCUAUACAGCAGGAUCUCAUUGCUUAUCCAUUUCAAAAUCAAUAGUUUGCAUCUAUUAACCCCAGACUCCCAGUCCAUCCCACUCCCUCCCCCUCUCCCUUGGCAACCACAAGUGUGUUCUCCAUUUCCAUGAUUUUCUUUUCUGUGGAAAGGUUCAUUUAUGCUAUUAGAUUCCAGAUAUGUGAUAUCAUAUGGUAUUUGUCUUCCUCUUUCUGACUUACUUCAUUCAAUAUGAGUCUCCAGUUCCAUCCAGGUUUCUGCAAAUGGCAUUAUUUUGUUCUAUUUUAUGCCUGAGCAGUAUUCCAUUGUGUAUAUUACCACUUCUACUUCAUUCAUUCAUCUGUCAAUGGACAUUUAGGUUGUUUCCAUGUCUUGGCUAUUGUGAACAGUGCUUCAAUGAACAUGCAGGUGCAUGUGUCUUUUUCUAGGAAAGUUUUGUCUGGAUAUAUGCCCAAGAGUGGGAUUGCUGGGUCAUAUGGUAGUUCUAUGUAUAGUUUUCUAAGGUACCUCCAUACUGUUUUCCAUAGUGGUUGUAUCAAUUUACAUUCCCACAAACAGUGCAGGAGGGUAUUCUUUUCCACAUCCUCUCCAGCUUUUGUUAUUUGUCGACUUGUUGAUGAUGGCCAUUCUGAUAGGUGUGAGGUGGUACCUCAUGGUAGUUUUGAUUUGCAUUUCUCUAAUAGUCAGUGAUGUUGGCCAUCUGUUUAUCUUCCUUGGAGAAAUGUCUAUUCAGGUCUUUUGCCCAUUUUUUCAAUUGGGCUGUUGGCUUUUUUGCUGUUGAGUUGCCUAAGUUGUUUGUAUAUUUUAGAGAUUAAGCCCUUGUCAGUUGCAUUGUUUGAAACUAUUUUCUCCCAUUCUUUAAGUUGUCUUUUUUGUCUCUUUAUGGUUUCCUUUGCUGUGCAAAAGCUUGUCAGUUUGAUUAGGUCCCACUGGUUUAUUUUUGCUUUUAUUUCUGUUGAUUUGGGUUUGGAGGUCAUUUGCAUAACUUGUUAGAGGCAGUAUUUCCGGGCUUCCUCUGGCCAGUCAUCUUGCUUUGUCUGGCCUUGGCCUGAAUCAGAGCCCUGGCCUCAGGAUGAAUUUUUAGCACAAGGGUUUCUGGGAAGUUGACAGGAUGUAUUAUGCUCUGGUGCCCCUCCUUUCUCUGACCCCUGAGGUAUCUUUCUGUGAGUGUGUAGUUACAGAGGUCUCAUUGACCUCAGGAAUGAGAAAUAGAUGGUCUCUAUCUUUUAUCCAAGCAGGACGCAGCUUUUAUAUUGAAGUUAUCUGUCCACAGGGGAACAAUUACAUUUAUGCUGCCUGGGACCCAUCUAUCUCCUGCUUCAUGUGCACCACUUAUUUAAAAUAUAUCAUUUCUCAAUUGAUCUUAGAAUCUUUGUCAAAAAUUGAUUAUAUUUAUGUGGGUUUAUAUCUGUGCUGUCUAUUCUGUUCCAAUAAUACAUGUCUACCUUUUCACCAAUACCACACUGUCUUGAUUAAUGUAGCCUUAUACUGGGUCUCAUAAUUGGGUUGCAUGAGAUCAGUCAAAAUACUUUUGAUUGGCAAUAAUUAUGCACUUCAGAGAAGCCUUAGAAACUCAGGAUAUAGAAUUUAUAAUAUUGACCCAAAAGUCUGCAAUAAAAUAUGUUUCUGUUCUUAGAAAACAGAAACAACUUCAAUUUCUGUGAUUUGCAUAACAAGUUCUAAAUGUCAUAAAUAAGUAGUAAUAUUUAGCCAGGUCCCACAAAACUAUCUUUACUUGCACAUGAUCUCAUUUGAUGUAUGUAUUAUGGUGAGGACUUGUGAAUGUAUAAAUCAAUCACUAAAUAAUACAGAUUCUUUUGGUCUCUGACAUAUAUACCAGGUCCUAGACUGACCCCUUCCUCACAGUGUUCAAUUACGAAAGUCUCUACCUUUAAUGGCCUUGGAGUUAGGGGGUAAAAGGUAAGCAUAAUACUUAAAACAAAAUGAUGCAAAAUUCUUCUUCUCCUUUAAGGAGAAAAACCCCACAGAAAUGUUCUUCAUUUUAGAUGUCAAGAAAAAAGUAGACACCAAAUUUUAAAAAGCUAGAAAACAACUGUACAUAGUUGGAAUUUUCACAUUUUUGUUAUCUUACUUCCUGGAGGCAUUUAACUUUUUAAUACAGAGUCUUUGUAACAAAAAUUCAGCACUGUUGAAUGAUGAUGAUAAAUCAUCUGUUCAAAGGAAAUUUUAUAACACAGUUACUAAAUGCACUCGCUGUAAUUAUACGAAGAUCAAUCCAUAAGAUUUGAGAGGCUGAGUAAUGUUGAUUUUCAAAGUUAUUCAUAAAUCACUGAAAUAAAGUGCUUAUGCUAAAGUUAAAUUGUUGAAUGAAAUUGUACUUUUAAUUAUGCCAAUUAUUCCCCAAGCUAUAUGGUCUGGGCAAAGGAUAUUAACAUAAACUAUGAAUUAUGUCAUACCUCCAGCUCUUGACUAAAUCAAAGAUAAUUUGGGUCUGCAUGGCAUCACUUCUAUUUCUAUUUAAAUGAUUUGACAAAUGGAAAUAGGGGAGCCGAGACUUAGAAAUACUGUGUUUACUGCCUGUGGAAGAUUAAAUGUGUCAUAAAAUAUUCCCAAGGGACCACAGUGAUAAAAUACUGUGAUAGGAUUGCAAAGUUGCAGAGAGAAAAUUUGAAAUCAUGGGUCAGUUCCAAGUACAAAUGCCAAAUGCAUGCAAGGUCUCUGCCACCAGGAUUAUUUGGUCCGCCUGGGAGUACAAAAUCAACCUUAGCAAAUAUAGCAUACCUUAUUUUGAUCCAAAUGUGUCGCUUGCUGUCUCAAAAAAUUCUGACUCCCAAAAAUGUCUCCAUAAAACUCUUUAUGUUGGUAAACAUGGAAAGUAGGAACCACAAAAAUAACCUUUAUUCUUGCUGUUAUCUCAGCCUGGGAGACGCUGAGCUCACAGGGCGAGCGAAAUGUAGGAGAAAGACAGGAAAAAUGACCAUGGAUCAAGGGUCAUUCAUGGAUAAAAUUUACAUUAAACUUCUUUUCCUGGUAAUGUUAUGUCUCUUCCUUCUAGAUUAAUGUUACAUUUUUCUGAUAAAGUCUGGUCAUUUUAUCAGAAAGGUGGUGUUCUUUGCACUUAGGAAGUAAAAUUAUAAAACCAGAGUACAGUUGAAAAAUGUUCCAAUGUUUUUGGUUUUGUUGAAUUAUAUUUGAAAUAUUUUUUACAUCUUUCUUUACAUAGUUUCAGAUCAUACCUUUCUUGAUACAUCCCCUGUCAACGACUACCCAUACUUCCAGACCCAACUAUAGUCUAUUCACUCCAUGUCAAGCCUCUAACACAAGUCUUUGCAUAUGGAAAGGCAGAAUGACAAACUCGAAAGGAUAUGAAUUUUGAACAGUGAGUUCAAAACCUAUC